rnacentral:rRNA from 1 species
GAUGAACGCUGACAGAAUGCUUAACACAUGCAAGUCAACUUGAAGUUGGGGUUUUAACUUAGGUUUGGGUGGCGGACGGGUGAGUAACGCGUAAAGAACUUGCCUCACAGCUAGGGACAACAUUUGGAAACGAAUGCUAAUACCUAAUAUUAUGAUAAUAGGGCAUCCUAUAAUUAUGAAAGCUAUAAGCGCUGUGAGAGAGCUUUGCGUCCCAUUAGCUAGUUGGAGAGGUAACGGCUCACCAAGGCGAUGAUGGGUAGCCGGCCUGAGAGGGUGAUCGGCCACAAGGGGACUGAGACACGGCCCUUACUCCUACGGGAGGCAGCAGUGGGGAAUAUUGGACAAUGGACCGAGAGUCUGAUCCAGCAAUUCUGUGUGCACGAUGAAGUUUUUCGGAAUGUAAAGUGCUUUCAGUUGGGAAGAAACAAAUGACGGUACCAACAGAAGAAGUGACGGCUAAAUACGUG